rnacentral:misc_RNA from 1 species
UACGUAGGGGGCGAGCGUUGUCCGGAAUUAUUGGGCGUAAAGCGCGCGCAGGCGGUUUCUUAAGUCUGAUGUGAAAGCCCACGGCUCAACCGUGGAGGGUCAUUGGAAACUGGGAGACUUGAGUGCAGAAGAGGAAAGUGGAAUUCCAUGUGUAGCGGUGAAAUGCGUAGAGAUAUGGAGGAACACCAGUGGCGAAGGCGACUCUCUGGGCCGGUACCGACGCUGAGGUGCGAAAGCGUGGGUAGCAAACAGG